CCUACGGGGGGCAGCAGUGAGGAAUAUUGGUCAAUGGGCGAGAGCCUGAACCAGCCAAGUCGCGUGAGGGAAGACGGUCCUACGGAUUGUAAACCUCUUUUGUCAGGGAGCAAGGAGCGCCACGAGUGGUGCGGCGAGAGUACCUGAAGAAAAAGCAUCGGCUAACUCCGUGCCAGCAGCCGCGGUAAUACGGAGGAUGCGAGCGUUAUCCGGAUUUAUUGGGUUUAAAGGGUGCGCAGGCGGAAGCGGCAAGUCAGCGGUAAAAUUGCGGGGCUCAACCUCGCCGAGCCGUUGAAACUGCUCUU
rnacentral:rRNA from 1 species